CGGGGCCCGCACAAGCGGUGGAGCAUGUGGUUUAAUUCGACGCAACGCGAAGAACCUUACCUGGGCUCGACAUCCCGAUCGCACCUUAUGGAAACAUAGGGGUCAGUUCGGCUGGAUCGGUGACAGGUGCUGCAUGGCUGUCGUCAGCCCGUGUCGUGAGAUGUUGGGUUAAGUCCCGCAACGAGCGCAACCCUUGUCUUUAAUUGCCAGCAUUCAGUUGGGCACUUUAAAGAGACUGCCGGUGUUAAGCCGGAGGAAGGUGGGGAUGACGUCAAGUCCUCAUGGCCUUUAUGCCCAGGGCUACACACGUGCUACAAUGGGUGGUACAAAGAGAUGCCAACUCGCGAGAGCGCGCCAAUCUCAGAAAGCCAUCCUCAGUUCGGAUUGGAGUCUGCAACUCGACUCCAUGAAGUUGGAAUCGCUAGUAAUCGCGGAUCAGCACGCCGCGGUGAAUACGUUCCCGGGCCUU
rnacentral:rRNA from 1 species